rnacentral:rRNA from 1 species
GACGAACGCUGGCGGCGUGCUUAACACAUGCAAGUCGAACGGAAAGGCCCUGCUUUUGUGGGGUGCUCGAGUGGCGAACGGGUGAGUAACACGUGAGUAACCUGCCCUUUACUUUGGGAUAACUUCAGGAAACUGGGGCUAAUACCGGAUAGGAGCUCCUGCUGCAUGGUGGGGGUUGGAAAGUUUCGGCGGUUGGGGAUGGACUCGCGGCUUAUCAGCUUGUUGGUGGGGUAGUGGCUUACCAAGGCUUUGACGGGUAGCCGGCCUGAGAGGGUGACCGGCGACAUUGGGACUGAGAUACGGCCCAGACUCCUACGGGAGGCAGCAGUGGGUAAUAUUGCACAAUGGGCGGAAGCCUGAUGCAGCAACGCCGCGUGCGGGAUGACGGCCUUCGGGUUGUAAACCGCUUUCGCCUGUGACGAAGCGUGAGUGACGGUAAUUGGUAAAGAAGCACCGGCUAACUACGUG